rnacentral:misc_RNA from 1 species
GAUGAAGAACGCAGCGAAAUGCGAUAAGUAAUGUGAAUUGCAGAAUUCAGUGAAUCAUCGAAUCUUUGAACGCACCUUGCGCCCUUUGGCCAUUCCGAAGGGCAUGCCUGUUUGAGUAUCAUGAACACCUCAACUCUCAUGGCUUGCCCAUGAUGAGCUUGGACUUUGGGGGUCUUGCUGGCCUGCGGCCAGCUCCUCUCAAAUGAAUUAGCUUUCCAGUGUUUGGUUGGCAUCACAGGUGUGAUAACUAUCUACGCUUGUGGUUUCCACCAGGUAACCUUCAGUAACAUGGGGGUUUGCUGGAGCUCAUAAAUGUCUCUCCUCAGUGGGGACAGCUCUUUGAACGUUUGAUCUCAAAUCAGGUAGGACUACCCGCUGAACUUAAGCAUAUCAAUAAGCGGAGGA